CCUACGGGUGGCAGCAGUGGGGAAUAUUGGGCAAUGGAGGAAACUCUGACCCAGCAACGCCGCGUGUAUGAUGAAGGUCUUCGGAUUGUAAAGUUCUUUUCUAAGGGAAGAAGAAAGUGACGGUACCUGACCAAGAAGCACCGGCUAACUACGUGCCAGCAGCCGCGGUAAUACGUAGGGGGCAAGCGUUAUCCGGAUUUACUGGGUGUAAAGGGGGCGCAGACGGCAAUGCAAUCAAGGAGUGAAAGCCCGGGGCCCAACCCCGGGACUGCUUUUGGAACUGCAUGGCUGGAGUACAGGAGGGGCAGGCGGAAUUCCUAGGGUAGCGGUGAAAUGCGUAGAUAUUAGGAGGAACACCGGUGGCGAAGGCGGCCUGCUGGACUGUGACUGACGUUGAGGCCCGAAGGCGUGGGGAGCAAACAGGAUUAGAUACCCGAGUAGUC
rnacentral:rRNA from 1 species